rnacentral:rRNA from 1 species
AAUUUGAAAUCUGGCUCUUUCAGGGUCCGAGUUGUAAUUUGUAGAAGAUGCUUCGGGUGUGGCCCUGGUCUAAGUUCCUUGGAACAGGACGUCAUAGAGGGUGAGAAUCCCGUAUGUGACUGGGUGCCUACGCUCAUGUGAAGCUCUUUCGACGAGUCGAGUUGUUUGGGAAUGCAGCUCAAAAUGGGUGGUAAAUUUCAUCUAAAGCUAAAUAUUGGCCAGAGACCGAUAGCGCACAAGUAGAGUGAUCGAAAGAUGAAAAGCACUUUGGAAAGAGAGUUAAACAGUACGUGAAAUUGUUGAAAGGGAAGCGCUUGCAACCAGACUUGCACGCUGCUGAUCAUCCGGUGUUCUCACCGGUGCACUCGGUAGCGUUCAGGCCAGCAUCGUUUUUGGUGGUUGGAUAAAGGCCUUGGGAAUGUAGCUUCUUUCGGGGAGUGUUAUAGCCCUCGGUGCAAUGCAGCCUACCGGGAACGAGGACCGCGCUUCGGCUAGGAUGCUGGCGUAAUGGUUGUAAGCGACCCGUCUUGAAACACGGACCAAGGAGUCUAACAUCUAUGCGAGUGUUUGGGUGUCAAACCCAUACGCGUAAUGAAAGUGAACGGAGGUGAGAACCCUUAAGGGUGCAUCAUCGACCGAUCCUGAUGUCUUCGGAUGGAUUUGAGUAAGAGCAUAGCUGUUGGGACCCGAAAGAUGGUGAACUAUGCCUGAAUAGGGUGAAGCCAGAGGAAACUCUGGUGGAGGCUCGCAGCGGUUCUGACGUGCAAAUCGAUCGUCAAAUUUGGGUAUAGGGGCGAAAGACUAAUCGAACC